rnacentral:rRNA from 1 species
GACGAACGCUGGCGGCGUGCCUAACACAUGCAAGUCGAACGAAGUGGCGAACGGGUGAGUAUUACGUGGGUAACCUGCCCUCCUUUUUGGGAUAAGCCUUGGAAACGGGGUCUAAUACCGAAUAAAGGGGGAUGGGCUUGCGGCCUAUCAGCUUGUUGGUGGGUUGAUGGCCUACCCAGGCGGGGACGGGUAGCCGGCCUGAGAGGGCAACCGGCCACAUUGAGACUGUGAUGAGGCCUAGGGGCGUACGGGGGGGGGCAUAGGGGGAUAUUGGGCAAUGGGCGAAGGCCUGAUGCAGCGACGGCGAGGAGGGGCUGAGGGCUUUCGAGUUGUAACCGUCUUGCGCAAUCGAACCGGUAGUUGGAGAAGAAGCGCCGGCUAACUACGUGCCAGCAGCCGCGGUAAUUC